rnacentral:rRNA from 1 species
UACAGAGGUCUCAAGCGUUGUUCGGAUUCAUUGGGCGUAAAGGGUGCGUAGGUGGCGCGGUAAGUCGGGUGUGAAAUCUUGGAGCUUAACUCCGAAACUGCAUUCGAUACUGCCGUGCUUGAGGACUGGAGAGGAGACUGGAAUUUACGGUGUAGCGGUGAAAUGCGUAGAUAUCGUAAGGAAGACCAGUGGCGAAGGCGGAUCUCUGGACAGCUCCUGACGCUGAGGCACGAAGGCCAGGGGAGCAAACGGG